rnacentral:rRNA from 1 species
UACGGAGGGUGCAAGCGUUAUCCGGAUUCACUGGGUUUAAAGGGUGCGUAGGUGGGCAGGUAAGUCAGUGGUGAAAUCUCCGGGCUUAACCCGGAACGGUCAGAUGAUACUGCUUUGCUAGAGUGCGGAAGGGGCAAUCGGAAUUCUCGGUGUAGCGGUGAAAUGCGUAGAUAUCGAGAGGAACACCUGAGGUGAAGACGGGUUGCUGGGCCGACACUGACGCUGAUAGCGCGAAAGCCAGGGGAGCAAACGGG